UGGGGAAUAUUGCACAAUGGGCGCAAGCCUGAUGCAGCGACGCCGCGUGGGGGAUGACGGCCUUCGGGUUGUAAACCUCUUUCAGUACAGACGAAGCGUAAGUGACGGUAUGUACAGAAGAAGCACCGGCCAACUACGUGCCAGCAGCCGCGGUAAUACGUAGGGUGCGAGCGUUGUCCGGAAUUACUGGGCGUAAAGAGCUCGUAGGUGGUUUGUCGCGUUGUUCGUGAAAACCGGAGGCUCAACCUCUGGCGUGCGGGCGAUACGGGCAGACUUGAGUACUGCAGGGGAGACUGGAAUUCCUGGUGUAGCGGUGGAAUGCGCAGAUAUCAGGAGGAACACCGGUGGCGAAGGCGGGUCUCUGGGCAGUAACUGACGCUGAGGAGCGAAAGCGUGGGGAGCGAACA
rnacentral:rRNA from 1 species